rnacentral:SRP_RNA from 1 species
UUGCCUAUAGAAUGAUAACCUUGUAACCUGGUCAGGACAGAGAUGUAGCAGCCACAUCGAGAAGUAUCGUGUCUGUAGGUUUUUU